AAAAUUUAAAUAAAAAAUACUAAAAUAGUAGGUAAUUAUUUGUUGAAACUUAAAUAAUUUGGCGGUAUUUUAGUUCAUUUAGAGGAAUCUGUUUAAUAAUUGAUAUUCCACGAAUAAAUUUACUUAAUUUAUAAUUUUAUAUAUCGUUGUUUAAAAAAUAUUUUUUAAUAAAAUUAAUAUUUUAAAAUUAGUAUUAGAGUUUAAAUCAGAUCAAGAUGUAGAUUAUAGUUAAGAAUAUAAUGGAUUACAAUAAAUUUAUUUAAAUGAAUAUUAAUUUGUAAUAGUUGAUUGAAGGUGGAUUUAAAUGUAAUUUUAUUUAAUUUAAUAAAAUGAUUAAAAAUUAAAAUAUGU
rnacentral:rRNA from 1 species